UACGUAGGGUGCGAGCGUUGUCCGGAAUUAUUGGGCGUAAAGAGCUCGUAGGCGGUGUGUCACGUCGAUCGUGAAAACUUGGGGCUUAACCCUGAGCUUGCGGUCGAUACGGGCAUCACUAGAGUUCGGCAGGGGAGACUGGAAUUCCUGGUGUAGCGGUGAAAUGCGCAGAUAUCAGGAGGAACACCGGUGGCGAAGGCGGGUCUCUGGGCCGAUACUGACGCUGAGGAGCGAAAGCAUGGGUAGCGAACAGG
rnacentral:rRNA from 1 species